GUUUAGAGUAGAGAUGGCACGAUACCACUUUUUUAUGUCCGAUACCGAUAUCGAUAUCAUAAAUUUGGAUAUCUGCCGAUACCGAUAUGAAUCCGAUAUAGUGUUUUUUAACCAACAAAACUGUUUUUUAAAAUAUCUUGCUGCAUUUUGCAAGUCUGCAAGUUCAUACUCAAGUUUAAAACAACAACUACACUAAAGCUAUUCUGUUAUACCUGUAUACAAAAAAAUAUUUCAUAGUUCAGCAAUACUGAUCAAUCUAAUAAACUUAAACCUACACCAUCCUCCCUAUUCUGGUAUUUUAAAGAGUACUUAGUGUAAAUAUUAAGCAACCUAACUAAUAGGGUUCCAACUCCCAGCAACAACAAAAAUAAAUAAAUAAAAAAUAGGGAACCACCCCUCACGCUCCACCUCAUGAUGCUUAAUCGACGUAAUCAACCUUAAUUUGAUGCAGUGCGAAAAAAAAUGCACAGAAAUCAAUUAUUUUUCAAGAAAUAUUAAAUAGAUUCAACAUCUUUCUUCAACAAAAUUGCAGACUGCACAGAUGGUACCUUCCCAAAGUAAAGAGUACUAUAGCUUACUAGGGUAUAUAUAUUAGACUUAAUAGUCACUAUAUACAGUAAUUGACUUCUAUUCAUUUUACAUCAAAUUAAAACUUUGGCUGUCAGAUAAUUAUUUAUUAAAAGCUCGACAUUUUAAAUGAGAAUAAGAAAGAAAAGUAUGUCUUUGUGCCCCUUUUCCCUGUUCAUGCCCUAUCGGCCCCCCUGGCUAAACUUUGCUAGAUCCGCCCCUGCACAGUUACCAGCCGUCAGCUAUGUAGAAAAAGAUCCUUGAGUAGAAAGUAAUAUUAAAUAAAUUGUAACAACAGCUUAUCAAGCUUAAACGUUCUGCUGUUGUUCAGCCGCUGGUUUCCUCUUUCUGGUGCAAAGUGGGCCAAAAACAAACAAGAGAGACGUACUCCCGACAGAAAAGCCGAUCAGCUGAUCAUUAAGCAGUUUCAUGAUUGAAGUAGCAGCCGGAGAGCGAGAGGCAGUCGCUCGUUAAGCUUAACGGAGGAAUGCUUUACAAACAUUCAGAGAUGGACUUACACACUGUCGGAGAUGAAAUGCUGGGUUGCUAGCGAAGCUCCAAAUGCUAUCCAGACCACCGACAGGUCCCGCAUGCCACAGCCGCUCUAUCACGUGAUGCAUACUGCUCCGACGUGCUAACGUUCUGAGGUGAGUUACGGCGUGUUGCAAGUUUUGUGAGGUGCUUUCGUGAUAUUUAAUGGAUCGGAUUACAUUUUUUAUUUUUCUCCGAUAUCCGAUCCAGUAAUUUAGGUCAGUAUCGGACCGAUACCGAUACGUAAUAUCGGAUCGGUCCAUCUCUAGUUUAGAGUCAGUAAAACUGUCCUCCUGCAGCUGCUGUCUCUGGUUCCUGUGAACAGUGAGAGGGACACAGUGAGGCGGGCGGUGUCCCUGUGUAGAGCCCUGGGUGGAGAGCUGGAUUUCAGUCACAGCACGCUGGAUCAGAGGGCCUGUGGGUCUUUGGUCCAGAUGCUGGACUCGUGUGAAGGGCUGACAGAGCUGGACCUCAGUCACUGUCAGCUCACUGACCAGCUGCUGCUCCCUCUCAUCACACAUCUGCACAAAGUCCAAGUCCUGGAUCUGAGUCACAAUCAGAUCACUGAUGCUUCGACUGAUGUGUUACUGCAGCUGCUCUCCAUCAACCCCUCCAUCGACUGUGUGCGACUCUACAGCAACAACAUCGUGCACAGAGCAGCCUUCAAGGAACACAAGCAGUGUGAGAUCUGGUGAAGCACUCGUCACCAUCAUAUCAUCAUGAACAUCAUCAACAUCAUCAUUAUCUGGGAUUCACUGGUUUCCUCUGUUCUUGUCAUCAUUACAUGAAAAUAUUGGGUGGAGUGGGAGCACUGAUACUGUGUUCAUGGACUCAGUGUAAUGUUGUAGUGUACGACACAUUGACAUUAGAUCAGAUGGGUUUUGAAGACCAUCUUGAUUUUUUUUCUUUUUUCUACAAUGACUUGAAGACAGUUUAUAUGGAGACAACGAGCAGCCAACAGUGUUUGUUUCAAUUACCCACUGUUGCUUUUGUUUCUGAGCUACUGCAGAUUUUUCUUUGAUGAAGGUCAGAUGUCUAACUGGUCAUGUGAUGAUGUAAAAGUCCUGGGUCUUGGACCCACAAUUUUGAGUUUUGCAUUCUCGGUCUAAUCUUUUGGAUUUCAAGUCUUUAUUUCCCCAUGCAGUUACUUCCUGUUUUAUUUUGAUAGUCAUUUGUCUGUGUUCCUUUUGUUUGCUUGUCCUGAUUGGUUUUAGCUGUGUCUCAUUCCCUUAACUAUGGAACGCCAGGACUGCCAUAAUGAAUUAAUUAAAUACACCAUUAAAUAAUUAAUUAAAUGUGUCAAUAAUUAAAUAAAAUUGGAAUUAAUUAAUUAAAUAAAUUGUUAUGACACAUGUAAUUAAUUAAUUAUUAACACAUUUAAUUAAUUAUUUAAUGAUAUAUUUAUUUAUUUCAUUUUGGCAGUCCUGGCGCCUGGCUCUCGAAAUAAUUUUAUCUGUCAGCCUCACCCAUCAAACUUAGGGGGCGGGGUUAACGCUGCCCAUGCAGCCUCUCUAACAUUUGAUUGGUUGCCGUGCAAAGUAAGUCAAAACAGGUCGAUCCUAGAUAAUCGAUUGCUUGUGUAGACUUGGGGCAGCCAGGUAUCCCAGAAUGCAGAUCAAAUCACAGGCAGCAAUGGUGGUGGUUUAGUUUUUCUGUCACCAGCUACACUUUUAACAGUGUUUUAGCUGCGAAUGUCGCGACGUAUGUCUGGUCAGGUUGUCAACAUAGAACAUGUUUGCAAAAGUGCUCAGAUGUUUUCAGAGAUUUCACUAGCUCUGCUAACAAUUAGCAUGCAGAGUGCACCCAGGGGGUUACGUUAACCGGUUUGUUUACAUAUUCCACUCUCCGUGUUCCACAUGUUGCAUUCGCAGAUUCUCAUUUUCACCGAACGAUCGUCUCUUUCCGCCUGGUCUUGUGUCUCUGUGCUUCUGUAACAUAAAGAACGAGCUGACAUUUUUCUCACGAAACCAGCGAUCAGCUCAACAGACCCUCAGUUUACCUGCAUGCAUCCUCCUCCUCAUCUGUCAGCUGUUUAACACCUGCUGCUAAUUCAAGAAACACGCCUACGUUACCUGGUGAUAGUCACAGUUUAACUGGGCAGUCGGUGCUCGAUAUAAAGCAAUGUCAGCGCAUUUUUCUGCACAAGAUAAGUAAAUAUAGUAUUUUCCCCGAGCGCAGAGCUGCUGGAGCUUGUUUCCUUACAGAGCACUUUUUAGGCGAACAGCUUCAUCAGCGGCUGAUGUCCAAUCACCGGCACACAGCUUUGAAACCUCAGCUGAGUUUUAGCUCUCAGUGGUUAAAGGAGCUUGCAAAGAAAAGCGUCUGGACUUCUUUAAGUUGCUUGAAGACGUUUCACCUCUCAUCCGAGAAGCUUCUUCAGUUCUAAGGUCAAAUGGUGGAGAGUCCCAGAUAUAAACCUAGUGGGAGUAACCCCCCACAGAGGGACAAAAGGACCCCCUGAUGAUCCUCUAAUCGCCUGGGCCAAGGUGUGAAACUGGGUGUGGGUCCCAAUCAGCCAGAGUUUCGGGUGUGUUCAUUGUGAAACCUGGCCCCACCUUAUCAUGCGAAUUCCUGAGAUCAGAUGGCCCAGGAUGUGAGUGGGCGUUAAGGCAUCUGGGAAGGGAUCUCAAAACUGGAUUAUAGAUGGCAGAGAGUUGGUGUCGUAUAAGCGGCCGCCAAGGAGUGAGCCGGUGUGUACCUGGACGCCCAUCCCCGGACACAAAGAACCACCAACGCACCGAUGUCUGAGGGAGUCUGCCACUGGCAGGGGAAGUGGUGGUAGGGGGAGAUAGGCCUCCAAACCUUGGAGGGCCUAAGAUGUCCCCAGAGAGGUGGCGCCUGACACCCAACCUGACAUAUAGACACAGACAUACAGGCACACACAUAUACAAACAUCCAUUCCCACCCUCAUGCUCUCAUAUGCACUUACUCCACACUCAACCAACGUGGAGACAGACAUAAAGAGAUGCUGUACACACGAUCACACUCCCCAAGCAUACUCUACAAACCGGGUCUAGGUACCCUUGCCACUGGAGGGGGGAACUGCACCCAGACCCAGGUGGUGUUACCCUUUUCCCUGCGGUGGGGGGAGGCAGACCGCAUCUCUUCAAGAUGAGAGCCAGACGCCAGGACUGCCAAAAUGAAAUAAAUAAAUAUAUCAUUAAAUAAUUAAUUAAAUGUGUCAAUAAUAAAUUAAAUGUGUCAAUAAUUAAUUAAAUGUG
ensembl:lncRNA